ACAGCAGCAGCCGCGGUAAUACAGAGGGUGCAAGCGUUAAUCGGAGUUACUGGGCGUAAAGGGCGCGUAGGCGGUUAUUUAAGUGAGUUGUGAAAUCCCUGGGCUUAACCUAGGAACUGCAACUUAUACUGGAUAGCUGGCGUACUGUAGAGGGUAGUGGAAUUUCCGGUGUAGCGGUGAAAUGCGUAGAGAUCGGAAGGAACACCAGUGGCGAAGGCGGCUACCUGGACAGAUACUGACGCUGAGGCGCGAGAGCGUGGGGAGCAAACAGGAUUAGAUACCCGCGUAGUCCCUGUCUCUUAUAC
rnacentral:rRNA from 1 species